rnacentral:lncRNA from 1 species
CAUUGAUCAAAGUUACAGGUACAUUUAUUUUCAAUAAUAUAAUAUAUAUGUGUGCGCGCACGUAUUUAUGCUACCAUGUAACUAGAUAGGUUAAAUUUUCUUAGAAUUGAGUUUUAGGCCUAACUCAAUGGACUCUAGUUUAUAAACACUUAGUCAGAUCAUAUCACAACUGAUGCGUGACUUCUUAACACCCCCGCUCGCGCCAAGCGCUAUGGGCUUGAGGCGCGGAUAUGAAUGGUGGAGGGCCCAAUCAGAAACUUGAUUGCAGGCGGCCCG